rnacentral:rRNA from 1 species
AGAGUUUGAUCAUGGCUCAGAUUGAACGCUGGCGGCAUGCCUUACACAUGCAAGUCGAACGGCAGCGCGGGAGCAAUCCUGGCGGCGAGUGGCGAACGGGUGAGUAAUACAUCGGAACAUGUCCAGUAGUGGGGGAUAGCCCGGCGAAAGCCGGAUUAAUACCGCAUACGAUCUACGGAUGAAAGCGGGGGAUCUUCGGACCUCGCGCUAUUGGGGUGGCCGAUGGCGGAUUAGCUAGUUGGUGGGGUAAAGGCCUACCAAGGCGACGAUCCGUAGCUGGUCUGAGAGGACGACCAGCCACACUGGGACUGAGACACGGCCCAGACUCCUGCGGGAGGCAGCAGUGGGGAAUUUUGGACAAUGGGCGAAAGCCUGAUCCAGCAAUGCCGCGUGUGUGAAGAAGGCCUUCGGGUUGUAAAGCACUUUUGUCCGGAAAGAAAUCCUGGUGGCUAAUAUCCGCCGGGGAUGACGGUACCGGAAGAAUAAGCACCGGCUAACUACGUGCCAGCAGCCGCGGUAAUACGUAGGGUGCGAGCGUUAAUCGGAAUUACUGGGCGUAAAGCGUGCGCAGGCGGUGAUGUAAGACCGAUGUGAAAUCCCCGGGCUUAACCUGGGAACUGCAUUGGUGACUGCAUCGCUGGAGUAUGGCAGAGGGGGGUAGAAUUCCACGUGUAGCAGUGAAAUGCGUAGAGAUGUGGAGGAAUACCGAUGGCGA